UCCAACCACGUUAUCAGAGGUCAUCAUUGCUCCUUUAUAGUUGGAUAGAGCUUUUUGGCAGUGGGGAGAAGAGCUGGGGUUUGAUCCAUUGGAAAAUGACAAAAAGAUAUGACUCACGCUGGAGAAGAAAAGUUAGGAUUCCAGAAAAUACUUGCAAAAGAUACAGAAAAAAUAAUUUUAUUUUUAUUUUUUUGUGGUUAUAUGGUCAACUGUUAUUUAAGGUCUUCUCUCAGCUACAUUUCAGUAGUUUCUUUGCCUUUGGCAGCAUAAUACUAUCAGGACACACAAAGAGUGGAGAACUCAGAAUCAACAAACUGGAGGCCAGAUGGUUGCUGCACAGAAGGACUAGAGUGCCAUGCUACUCCUGAAUCUGCUGACUUUGCCCUUGAGGAACAUCCAUCAAUCAGGACUUUGUGUGACAACAACAACCAUACAUUUUCCCAAUGCUCUGAACACACAAAAGAGACACAUGACACUGGCCUUAAUGAAGAAUCAGAGAGUGAAGAUCCUUUUCACAUAGAUACAUUUGGUCACCCCCUACAUGAGUUUGUUGAGGAGGGAACUUAAGAUCAUAACCAGAUGAUGACCUGUCCUUUGAUGAAGACCUAUUAUGUGAAGACAGUGCAGAAGGAAGUGCCUUGGAAGUGUUUUUUGGAAAGGACCAACAUGUAAAAUCAAUUAAAAUGAGCAUGGUGUAUCUAAGCAACUGGUCACGUGUUAAUAAUCCUGUCUAUUUUAUUUUAUUUUAUUUUCAUAACUGUAUAAAAAUGGGUUCUUAAAAUUGUAUUAAGAAUUUACCUAGUUUUGGCCCAUUUUCAUAACCUAUUAUGUGUCAGUGUCUGCCUGCUACAGCUUACUGCUCCCCAAGUCUCCAUGUGUCUGUAGCGCAUAUUGUUAAUAUUCAUAGGCCAAUAGGUAGAAAGCUCACUCUAAAAAAGUAAAGCAGUUUGAUUAUGGUAAAUAUUUUCUCACAUGAUGUACCUAUGUGCUGUGAAUAUUAAAAAAAGUGCAGAUAACAGGAUCAUGCAAAAAUAAAUA